UAGCUAUGAUGUGGGCAAGAGUUUAAAAGGUCCUUGAAUCUUUUCCAUCAUUGGAAGGACUCUUCUUCUUUCUGAGAAUAACUCAUGAUUGCCCUUCUCAGGCU